UACAGAGGGUGCGAGCGUUAAUCGGAAUUACUGGGCGUAAAGCGCACGUAGUCGGCUUUGCAAGUCGGGUGUGAAAUCCCCGGGCUCAACCUGGGAACUGCAUCCGAGACUGCAUUGCUAGAGUAUGGGAGAGGGAAGCGGAAUUUCUGGUGUAGCAGUGAAAUGCGCAGAUAUCAGGAGGAACACCGGUGGCGAAGGCGGCAUCCUGGACCAACACUGACGCUGAGUGAGCGAAAGCCAGGGGAGCAAACGGG
rnacentral:rRNA from 1 species